GGCCCCAUCGUCUAGCGGUUAGGACAUCGCCCUUUCACGGCGGUAACCCGGGUUCAAUUCCCGGUGGGGUCACCA
rnacentral:tRNA from 1 species